AAAAAAAAUGGGCGAAACGCCCAUCUUCUCACUCCGGUGGUCGCACCUGAGCCGCACAAAAAACCUGUACGACCAGCGACUCAGCGAUUAUAGCGUUUU
rnacentral:sRNA from 17 species